rnacentral:rRNA from 1 species
UACGGAGGAUGCGAGCGUUAUCCGGAUUUAUUGGGUUUAAAGGGUGCGUAGGCGGCCGAGUAAGUCAGCGGUGAAAUUUUGUCAGCUUAACUGUAACAGUGCCGUUGAUACUGCAUGGCUAGGAUUUGGUUUGCUGUGGGUGGAAUGUGUGGUGUAGCGGUGAAAUGCUUAGAUAUCACACAGAAUAUCAAUUGCGAAGGCAGCUCACAAAGCCAAGAUUGACGCUGAGGCACGAAAGUAGUGGGGAGUCAAA